rnacentral:rRNA from 1 species
UACGGAGGGUGCAAGCGUUGCUCGGAAUUAUUGGGCGUAAAGGGUAGGUAGGUGGUCUCAUUUGUCUGAGGUGAAAUCCUUGAGCUUAACUCAAGAAGGGCCUCAGAAACGGUGAGACUGGAGUACUGGAGAGGGUCGUGGAAUUCCCGGUGUAGCGGUGAAAUGCGUAGAGAUCGGGAGGAACACCAGAGGCGAAAGCGGCGACCUGGACAGUUACUGACACUCAACUACGAAAGCGUGGGGAGCAAACAGG